CCAUUUAUGCAUCAUUUCAACAGUAAAGUGAUGCCACAACGCAAGAGAUUAAUAGUGCUCACCUUACGCAUGUUUCCGGUAGAGACCCACAAAGCAGUAGGCGUAAUCCAAAGUCCGCAAGAGGUACAAAAUCCAACGGGAAAUGUUCUCACGUCACCAGAAAACAAGUUCACUCAUUCUUGUUUCUAAUAUUCUUUUGGUGAUCCUCAGAUGGACGUCGUAAAAUAACACGCCCAGUUCCAAGCUUCGGAAACACAACACGGCAUCAGAGGAAUGCGAGCGCGAGAGGGUUCAGACGGAAAGUGCCAGUCUCCAUGUUUGUAGCGGAGUGUGCCAAAUGCGGGAUGCAAUUCUAGACGUGGAUGCCUGUUCGUUUCUGCACAGAACUCAGAAGAUGCUAAAGUACGUCGGUACACCUCCUAAUUCUCAUCUUGAUAACAACUCGAUUUAACAGCUCUGAGAUGAAUCUCGCUGCCUCAGAGAACUGACUCUGUGCUCGUGAGGUGAAAUCAAAGAAACUGUCUUCAGCACAAGACGCGGGGGCGAGGCCCGUACAGGCCGACCAGCGAGUGAGCAAAGGACGACAGGCAAACAGCGUCAGCGCCAUCUGCCCCCAACUUUCUGCCAAAAUGACAUGCUUGCGAUGUAAUAGGAAGACCCAGGCUCUGACCUAGGACAAUAGGGCCAGUUUCUUCUUGAAGGAGAGUCCCAGCAAGUAGAGCUGAAGCAUCAAUUUGUGCCGAAUUCUCAUUUUCUGAUGCCAAGGAUGUCUGCAAUUUGUUACAUAUGUUUCAUGUAUGCAAUUCUUCAAUACUGAACAAAGUAAUUUCAAUAAUAUCAGUCAUGGAAAGGUGAUGUAAAACAAAAAGCUUCAGGUAACUGCACAGAAAAGCCAUUUUGUUCAAAAUAUGAUUUAAGGCAGAGGCACGUGAAAAGAACCUCAAUCAUGACAAGGUGAAAUUACAUCGGGGGCAGUACGGUCAACCCUCGUUAAUAUGACCAAGGCCGUUCCCACGGAUUUUGAUCAUAAAGCGAAUUGUCAUAUUAACGAGCAACAUGGAUGAUGCUCCAGGUAAGCCCUUGAUAAAGGAAGUCUGUGUGGAAGUCUGUCUGUAAAGGAAGGCUCUGUCUCAUUUAUUGAAGACAGAAAUAUUGCAGGCACAGUAUUUCAGUUUAAUUUAUUGUAUUUCACCAACACAAUUUAUCAAUGAAAGAAAUCCGUUAAAAGCAUCUGCUUAGAAAAACCAUCAAUAUGUAGCUUUUCCGCUGACUCAAUGACAGGGGUGAUGGCUAAUACAUGCCGCAUCAACUGCGUCGGUAGAAGCGGGGUCAUGACUUCGGCAGUUCUCCCCAGUUCAUCCCCCGAAAUGUUGGUCAUAGUCAGAUUAUCGAGUUGUCAUAAUAACGAGGUGUCUUUCCACAGGACCUCCAUUGGGAACAAACGGUGCCCCAGAAAAGUGGUCACAAAGUGAUGAUGUCAUACUAACGAGUGUCAUAUUAACGCAUGUCGACUGUAUACUGUUCCGGUUCCAUACACAGCGACAUACGCUCCCUUAUCUACCAAAUGCAGAGACCAGUGACCGAAACUGAAACAAAUAUCGGUUCGGUUAUGGUUCACUUCUAAAAUUUUGCAAAGGGUUCGAUUUUGGUUCCAUGUGUUUUCUCUAUUAGUGUUUAUGGUUACCAGUAACCAAUAUAGCCAUCGUUUCGGUUUAAGUGAUGAACCAGUACCCUAGACUGAGUGGUUGCUGAAUAGUGAGCGGGGGAAUACAUGAUCACUUUGUGUUAUUCCCAGAAACUGUUGUGCACGCUGCAGUAACUUCUGUGAUAUAUUUUUGAAAUAUGUAUCCCGGAGUACACUAAAAACAGCUACAGAUUGAUUUCCUUUUGGGUGUUAUGCAGCAUAAGAGCCAAGUAUGAUAAAAUUCAAUACUAGACUAUUAAGAAAAUGCUGAAAGCAAGCAAGCAAGCCCAAUAAGUAUGACUUUGCCCUACAUCAGGCUGACGAAAACCAAGUUUUAUUCAAGCAGCUCUUCACGGCUGUUGAUGGCGUGUGAUGAUGCUCGAGUUCAGGUUGUUUCCAACGUGCAUCUCAUCAAAGACCACGGCAAUGAGCAAGUGGAAAUGCUCAUCGGGCUGGCCAUUACUGGGAGCUCAUCAAUGGCAACAUUCAGCGCGUAACUCCUUGCUUGGCGGCAAUGAGUACCAAACAAGGAUGGGCACUCGGCGGACAUGUUGCGUCAAAUGUUCAAGAGGUCGCUACGUCGCAUUUGUCUGUGUUACGAGCAUCCGUGGAGGAGUGCAGAGCUGAUGAACUCAUGAUGAAAUUUGGGAUGUGGAAAGUGAGUUUUUUUAGGCAAAAGUCAGACAGAAUUGGACGGCACGUCGGCUCUGGAUGAUUUUGAGGGGUGCAUCAGGCUAGUAGAUGGUUGCUACAAAGUACGAUUACCAGGGGGAGACGACAGAGUUGGAUGACAACAGAUGGAGUGCAGUGACUAGACUCAACCGACUUGUACAUCACCUGCAACAGGAUCUGCAAAAGCUGGAAAUGUAUCACACAGCAAUACGACAAUGUUUAUGUGAUAGAUCAGGAGAAAAGGUACCUGAAGGUGACAGUACACAGUGCGUGCUGUACCUGCCACACCACGCAAUAAUUUGACAAGAUAAAAUUAUUACUAAGUGCUGAAGAGUAUUCAACGCCUCAUCGCAUGGUCAAGAACGCAAGAGCCUGAACAACUCCCUUCAUGUUGGACUUAAUUUGAACCCCGACUGACUGGCACUGUUGCUUCAGUUCUGUUGUCACAAGGUCGCUUUAGCUGCGGACAUUAAAAAAGCCUUCCUGCAGAUAGGAAUAGCUGUAGACGACCGUGAUGCCCUUAGGUUCCUUAGGCUUAAGGAUGUACCAAAAGCGGAAGGAGUUGAAAGUACCUCAAAGGAACCAGAAGGAGGAUGACACAAGUUACUUUUGGAACAUUUGGAAUGGCACAUUUUUGCUAGCUGCAACAUUGCAACAUCACUUCAGAACGAUGAAUCAUGCAGUGCUCUAUUUAUGUUGAUGAUUUGCAGACAGGUGCUGAAACCGAAGAAGUGGAGAAAAUCUAUUGGGAGUCCAAAGUAAUCUUACAGAAGGCGUCCAUGAACAUCAGGAAAUGGGCAUCCAAUAGUGAACGGCUAUCAAAGUUACCGUAUUUACUCGCACAUAAGGCACACAUUUUUUACCCAAAAACAUUGUGCCAUUGAGGAGGUGCGUUCAAUAUGCGGGGGAAAAUUGGACCCAACACUUAAGGUACACUUCACUCCCGUUUUAUCCCAAGAUAUCCGCGGCAAACUCCCUGGAAUCGAACGUCGUGAUUCUCCCACAUCAAAUUAUCUUCUGUUCUGUCAAGCGUGGACGAAAUACUCCUCGAUGUCCGUUUCAUUCGUCGUCCAUCACUCUGGUGCCAGGUGCUCCAUCUUGUUGACUGCGUGAGAUGAUCCGGCCGUGCUACUAAAGUCGGUAUGCGUUUAAUGUGCCGGGAACAAAAUUGUACCAGCAUAUCGGCGCUCAAGUUGGUGUGUGUUCAAUAAGCGGGUGCGUCGAAUAUGUGAGCAAAUACCGUAUUCCAGGCUGACCCCAACUAGAUGUCUCCAUAUGCGCAGGGCUCAAAACAAAUCAAGAGACACAGACACGGACAUUAUUUGGCCCAAUCAGCAAGACCAGGUACCAAGGGAGGAGAGGGUGAUGAAAAGAGAAGCCUUGCUAGUAAUGCAAAGAAGCUAUGACCCUAUAGGACUUCUGGCUCCUUAUACAAUAGCCACAAAAGUGAUCAUGCAAGACAUAUGGCUGGAAAACAUCACAUAGGAUAAUCAGUUGUCCGAAAGCCUACAACAAGGAUGGGACAACUGGUGCAGCCAGAUAGAGAAGGCCACAUCCAUAGAAGUACCAAGAACAUAUGGUAAAUGGAUGGAAUCAACAUGGGCAAUCUUGCACAUAUUUGCGGAUGCGGGUCCACGGGCCUAUGGCGCAGUGGCGUGCAUUGUGCUCGCGGUCAUGUUAGCUCUCGUUCUCGCCAUGUCUAGGGUGGCAACCUUAAAGUUCUAACCUUACCAAGGUUGGAGCUGAUGGCAGCGGUGGUAGCGUCAAAGAUUGCGGCAUUCAUAUCAAGAAGCCUUACUGGAAUCACAGGCACAGUAUUGUGGACUGAUUCAGCUGUCAUUUUGUGCUGGAUAAAACGAACCCCUGAUCGAUGAAAGGAAUUCGUGAAAGCAUGAGUGCUUCAGAUACAAGAGCACAUGUUGGUCGAUCAGUGGCGUCAUUGUCCUUCCGAGUACAAUCUAGCAGAUUUUCUAACAAGAGGAGUUUCCCUGCAGCAAUUGCGAAGGAGUGAAUUCUGGUGGAGAGGUUGUGAGUGGAUUACGGAAGACGAAAAACAAUGGCCAAAGAUGUCAGAGAUGAUGACUUUUAAUGAACAAACAACUACAUGCAAUGUGGCACCAGUAAACACACCUCUUCAAGCACCUCUCAUGACGUCAAGAGUGAUAGCAGCAUCACCAAACUACACCGCGUAACAGCAUGGGCGAUACGCUUCGUCCGUAAUUGCCAGCAGAGGAACAAAAGGAGGGGACGGUUAUUGGCAGCAGAAAUGUCCUCAGCGGUAGAUUACUGGAUGAGGACAGUUCAAAUGAUGGCAUUUGGUGAAGAACGGAAAAAGAUUUACGACAAUCAGCCAUUGAAGCGAUAAAGUGCUCUGUACCAGUAUGCACACAGAAUUAUGAGUCUGAGUGGCAGACUCCAAAAGGCAAGGCUGUCACACAAAGAGAAACACCCUGUCGUCAUGCCAAGUGAUUCGCACUACAUGGAGUUCAUAGUAUACCAAAGCUCACAAGACCGUAUUACACUCAGGAACAAGUACUGGAUAAUAAGGGAAGACAGUUACUGGAACUGCGAAGGCAGUUAGCGAAGCAAAUACUAGGAAGCUGCAUGACACGUAAACGCUUCAAUCAAAGACAUGCUAGUGAAGUCACAGCACCUCUACCUGAGGAUCGUGUCACGGAAGGCAAUCUCUCUGCUACGACUGGCAUCGACUUUGCAGGACCAAUCUUCGUCAAAGCCUCAGAAACUACAAUGAAGUCAUACAUAGUUAUCUUUACCUGUGCCAUAACAAGAGCAGUCCACUUAGAACUGGUAAUGAGUGUGAAAAGCGACAGCUUCAUGUGUGUCUUUAGACUGUUUACUUUGCGCAGAGGACUCUUGUCACACCAUAUACAGCCACACCGCUGCGACAUUCAAACGUGGACAAAGAACUUAACGGACUUUGGAGUUUCAUAAGAGAUGAAGAAAUCAAGGACUACCUUGCCUGCAAAGGUAUGAACUGAACUGAAAGUUCAUCCCGAUCGCCGCUCCACAGUGGGGUGGUUUCUAUGAGCGCCUAGUGCGAUCAUUCGAGCAAACUCCAGGAAAAUGAAAGGAAAUAAUUUUUGAGGGUAUGAUGAGACUGCAACCAUAGUCACGGAGGAGGAGGCGAUAUUCAAUUCAAGGCCUCUCGUAUACACGUAUAACAAAUUAAAUGAGCCUGUUCAUUUGUCACCUGCCCUGUUCCUAACAGGUAGAUGGUUGACAACAUUACCACCCAGCGAAGACAGAAGGAACAUCUCUGAGUAACAUAUGGAGAAUACAACAGGGGAUAAGAAAAUUGUGGGUCACCUGGAGGACAGAGUAUGCGAGAGAGCUACGGUCAGCUCAUAUGAGAUCACCUAAGCGCGAAGACGAAUUUGGGGUUGGUGAGAUCAUAUUGAUGGGCAGCAAGAGACCGCAACUCUCUGGAAGAUGGCAAGGAUUGAAGCUGUCAACAAAGGAUCAGACGGCAAAAUUAGAUCCUGCAACAUAAGGACCGCAAACAGAGCAGUGGAACGGUGACAAAAAAUCUCUGUCAUUUGGAGGCGACACCACAGUAGAAGAAAUAAGCACUACAUUGGCAGCCAGGGAGUGAUAAAUAUUUCUCAAGUGUCAUCAUCACCAUCAUCAGUUGUAAGACUGCACACGUGCAGCACACACUCACCUUCAUGCAUUCAUUCUACGAUUAAACAUCGCUGAGACCACACGUAUCUGGGUAGUAUCUUUAGCCGCAUAUGGAGCGUACAUAAUCUGCGAUUUUCGACUAUAUAUUUAUUACAUGAGAGUCUGUCCGUGUCAGUCCUGCCACGUACUGCUUCUACCAUUUGAAGAAUCAAACAGGUCAUUUUCGCUCUUCACCUUGCUUCCAGACUUGCACCAAUUGCUACAAACCAGAAAGCAAAAUUAUGUUUUAUGGUUUCAGAUUAUGGUUCAGAUAACCAUUUCCUGUUACGGUAAGGUUCCAGUUCCCAAAAAAUUUCAGUUCCAAGCAGUUUUCAGCUCGGUUCCGGUUUCAGUCCUUGCCAGAGAUUACCGGUAUGUGCACAUUUUUAGCAUCAUCUAUAUCCUUGACUACAACAAACAGGAGAAAGUUUAAUUCUAUCAAAUGACUGCAGCACGGGUAUGGUUGUUUUUUCACAUGUUUCUUUGCACCUUGAAGAAAAUUUAAUGAUGCUGGGGAAUAAGGGAACAAUAUUAAUAGCUUUCCAAACCACAACAUUUGUUAUUGACUUUGAGACAGCCAUCCACAAUGCCGUAAGACAGUCCUAGCUGGAAAAUCCAGGAGCUCGGACUAUCGCCUUCAUUCAAGCGUAUGAACCCAGAGCGGACACAUGGCCUAAGGAGGUGUUUGGUUUGACAUACAUUCCACCAUCAAAAGUUGUGAAGCGCUUUGUUUUCUAAACAUGUUCGGAGGCUACACACGAAGGAGAGCUCUGGCAAUUUAUCGACUAUCUUGUAGAUGAUACUGCCACUAGUCAGCCCUCACUUUGCUCUGAAAAUGUGGUCCGAAGUGGCAUCCAAAAUACUACCAACACCUGGCAGUUAUUUCACAGUCACUUGAAUCCUUGAGCGUCUUGCACUCUCGGGUGGAGACCUAUUGUGAAAGCUAUAAUCUCAAGUGCUGACACAACAAACAGAGAAAGGAUUUUGAGCUCUGGGCUUUAUCAGUCUAGUCUACUUCGUUUGUAGUAUUGGCAAGCUACACUUUGCCAAAGAACAUGCAAAACCUACUGUGAUUUGUGUUAGAGUUUUGCUGCUUGAGUUUCAAUAAAUUCUGUUGAACCUGUA